rfam:Norovirus Hu/GII.4/CHDC4871/1977/TS, complete genome.
AGUGGUCACCCACACCACAUACGGAAGAAUGAAUGCUGGAAUGGAGAUUCCU